rnacentral:rRNA from 1 species
GAUGAACGCUGGCGGCGUGCCUAAUACAUGCAAGUCGAGCGAACAGAUAAGGAGCUUGCUCCUUUGACGUUAGCGGCGGACGGGUGAGUAACACGUGGGUAACCUACCUAUAAGACUGGGAUAACUUCGGGAAACCGGAGCUAAUACCGGAUAACAUUUGGAACCGCAUGGUUCUAAAGUGAAAGAUGGUUUUGCUAUCACUUAUAGAUGGACCCGCGCCGUAUUAGCUAGUUGGUAAGGUAACGGCUUACCAAGGCGACGAUACGUAGCCGACCUGAGAGGGUGAUCGGCCACACUGGAACUGAGACACGGUCCAGACUCCUACGGGAGGCAGCAGUAGGGAAUCUUCCGCAAUGGGCGAAAGCCUGACGGAGCAACGCCGCGUGAGUGAUGAAGGGUUUCGGCUCGUAAAACUCUGUUAUUAGGGAAGAACAAACGUGUAAGUAACUGUGCACGUCUUGACGGUACCUAACCAGAAAGCCACGGCUAACUACGUG